rnacentral:tRNA from 1 species
AAAGAAAUGUUUAAUAAAAAGCUUCUAACUUUUUUAAAAGCAAAAAAUUUGUUUAU